rnacentral:rRNA from 1 species
AACGAACGCUGGCGGCAUGCCUAACACAUGCAAGUCGAACGAGUCCUUCGGGUCUAGUGGCGCACGGGUGCGUAACGCGUUGGGACCUGCCCUUAGGUUCGGAAUAACUCCCCGAAUGGGGUGCUAAUACCGGCUCUUGUCUUCGGACCAAAGUUUUAUCGCCUUUGGAGGGGCGGGCGUGGGAUUAGCUAGUUGGUAGGGUAAAAGCCUACAACGGGGAGGAUGCAUAGCUGGUCUGAGAGGAUGGUCAGCCACACUGGGGGGAAGCAACGGUCGAGAAUCUUGCGGGAGGGGGGAGAGGGGAAUACAGGAAAGUGGGCGGAGGCCAGAUGCAGCAAGGCUGGGAGAGUGAUGAAGGCCGGAGGGUUGUAAAGUUCGUUAACACGGGAUGAUAAUGACGGUACCGGGAGAAUAAGCACCGGCUAACUUCGU